GAUGAACGCUAGCGGCAGGCUUAAUACAUGCAAGUCGAGGGGCAGCACAGGUAGCAAUACUGGGUGGCGACCGGCAAACGGGUGCGGAACACGUACACAACUUACCUUCUGGUGGGGGAUAGCCUUUGGAAACGGAGAUUAAUACCCCAUAUUAUAUAUGAGCUGCAUGGUUUGUAUAUUAAAGAUUUAUUGCCGGACGAUGGGUGUGCGUAUGAUUAGGUAGUUGGCGGGGUAACGGCCACCAAGCCGACGAUCAUUAACUGGUGUGAGAGCACGAGCAGUCACACGGGCACUGAGACACGGGCCCGACUCCUACGGGAGGCAGCAGUAAGGAAUAUUGGUCAAUGGACGGAAGUCUGAACCAGCCAUGCCGCGUGGAGGAUGAAGGUCCUCUGGAUUGUAAACUUCUUUUAUAGGGGGCGAAAAAAGGGAAUUCUUUCUCGUCUGACGGUACCCUAUGAAUAAGCACCGGCUAACUCCGUGCCAGCCGCCGCCGUAACAC
rnacentral:rRNA from 1 species